AACCAUCGCUUGAACAGACCCAGAGUGGGAAUUUCAUUUUUUGAAAAAAACAAUCAGAACGUUGCCAACGGACAACCAAAAAAUGCAUAGAAGACGACUCAAUAUCCAUUACUCCUCAGAUGAAGAUCAGGAACAAGAACACCCACCUCAAAUCCCGUCACAUUCAGACCAAAUUCAAGGCCUAAUUGACGACGAUAUUGAUUUCAUCCUCCAAGCAGAAACCGAAUCCAUGAACCUAAACACUGCUACCACUAUCUCCUCCGCUCCAAUUCUCGUCGAUAUCUCGGACGACGAUGAAGAUGAAAGAUUCCUCGAUGUCCGAGAAAAUCUAUCACCUCCUUCCCCUCAGCCGCCGUCAAAUUCCAGUUUUCCAGCCCCCGGAGGUGGUUACUCUGACGCUGCUGAUUGCGCUGUAGGGAGAAUUCUUCAUGGCUUAGGCUUGAGAUUAAGGAGACAGUGGCUAGAUUCUUGUGUUCAGGGGUUAGAGAACUCUGUUCCUGGGUUUGGGAGAUUGGAUGUAACUGCUAAAGCCAAAUUAUGUUUCCAGCAGUUUUUGUUCUCUGAUAUGAAAUUCUCAGGGAGUGGAAUCCUGCCUGAAAAUGUUGGCAGCAUGCAUCUUGUUGAUCUUGAAGGCCCUUUCGUCUUACAGGUUGAUGAGAUUGUGAAUAUUAGCAUCGCGCUGAAAACUAGAUAUCAAAAUGCCAAUCCUGGGGCUAAGAGGUGCCUCAAAUUGUCAAUAACUGAUGGUGUUCGAAGUGUGGUCGGAAUGGAAUACAGACCUAUCAAAGAUCUUCAAGUUUUUUCACCUAGUGGUAUGAAGGUGAUCAUUCGGAAUGUGCAAGUACGCCGUGGUAUCAUGAUGUUGGUACCAGAAGUGUUUGAAGUUGUAGGUGGGUUGGUUGAGGAUCUUGAAGCAGCAAGGCAGAGGGUUGUCCAGGAAAUAAACAAGCCACCAAGGGGGAAAAAGUCCAGGACUGAUGUAAAACCUUCUUUGGCAUCUAGGGCUAUGCUUGCUGCAUGGCCAAGAGAUAGUGACAAUGAUAACAGGACAAUGUCUUUCAAUGAAUCCAUACAUCAAACUACUACUCAUCCUACUGUACCAGAUAACAAUCCUGGUAUCAUCUCUGCAAGCACAAGGAGAGUAGACAACUUGCCUGUUCCAAGACGUGAGGAAAAUGACCAGUCUCAUCUAUUAUCUUCAUCUUAUUCAGCUCCUGCGGGAAUUCAUCCUGUUGUAUCUAGAAGUUUGUCUAGUACAAGAACGAGACAAGAUCGGGUUGUUGACAUCAUUGGAGUGGAUGAUGUGCAAAUUACUGAGCCAAUUGCGGAACCUCCUCGAAUAUCCCCUGAGGUGUCAGCUGUUCCUGAUAUCCAUAUGGCUGAUCAGGUUGAUAAUGAAACCCCCUUUACCUAUCUAGCCAAUUUGUCAGCUAAGUGGGCGGCUACAAGAGAGCAAGCUCCUAAUGUCCAUGGGAAAAUUAAGUGCUGUCUAACAGGAGUAAAAGGUUUCCAGUAUAAACAGAGGACCAUGUUUGAGCUUCUGGUUUACAUUGACGAUGGUAGCCUUAUCUCGGAGAUCCUAAUCGAUCACAAUGUUGUGCAAAAAGGAAUUGGUCAUUCUCCAGAAGAGGUAACUGCUGUUCUAACUUGUCCUGACAAAAAGAGAGCAAGCGAGAUGAAGAAUACACUAAAACAGUUCCAAAACUACUUGGUGAACUUUGAGGGUUUGAUGGUUAUAAGAAUAAGUGAAGAGUCUCCAUUGCCAGUAGCAAUAGAAAUGAACCAGGGUUGUUCUCCCUCUGAUGGCUGGUUGCUUCUGAAAAGACUGCAACCUUCCAACCUCUUCACCAGAUAAUCCCCAUUUGGACCCCCCAUAACUUCAUUCCCUGAAUGGCAGCUUCAUCGAUAGCAUGUAAUUUCCCCUACUGUGAAUUGGGCAUGUCUAAAAAGAUCGGCCUUUAAGGCUAGCUCCUCUUUAUGAGAAGAAAGAAGGAAAGUCCCAACAAUAUUCUCGAGAGCCUUUAAGGAGUUAACUCAAUUCAAACUGAAUUUUAAAAUAGUUUGAAUUAGAACCCAUCGGGAUAGUUUAAACAGAAAGUAUCUUAUUUAAGAUACCAAAGAUUUUAGGUUCUUACUAAAAGCGCAUUCAUUUUAAAUGGAAGUUAUCACUAUGGGUCGUGUUAAUCUCUCAUAUUCAAACUUUCUGACUCGUGGUGAUGCUUGAUAUGUGCAACAAAGAAAUGAGAUUGUUAGCUCGGCAAAAUCUUUGUUAGGAAUUAUUGCGAUAAUUUGGGGACACUUUUGGUCUUGUUAGUUAGUUAUUCCAUAUUUUCCUUUUAAUGGGUUUCUUGUUUUAAUGUUACAUGUACAAGGUUGGACUUACUUCAUUAUAAAACAAUUUCUUUAUUUAGAAUAUUAUUUCAAA